UACGUAGGCAGCGAGCGUUGUUCGGAGUUACUGGGCGUAAAGGGUGCGUAGGCGGCCUUGUAAGUUAGAGGUGAAAGCCCAGGGCUUAACUCUGGAAUUGCCUUUAAGACUGCAUCGCUAGAAUCGUGGAGAGGUGAGUGGAAUUCCGAGUGUAGAGGUGAAAUUCGUAGAUAUUCGGAAGAACACCAGUGGCGAAGGCGACUCACUGGACACGUAUUGACGCUGAGGUGCGAAAGCGUGGGGAGCAAACAGG
rnacentral:rRNA from 1 species